rnacentral:rRNA from 1 species
AUACGGAGGGUGCAAGCGUUGUUCGGAAUUACUGGGCGUAAAGCGCGCGUAGGUGGUCUGUUAUGUCAGAUGUGAAAGUCCACGGCUCAACCGUGGAAGUGCAUUUGAAACUGGCAGACUUGAGUACUGGAGGGGGUAGUGGAAUUCCCGGUGUAGAGGUGAAAUUCGUAGAUAUCGGGAGGAAUACCGGUGGCGAAGGCGACUACCUGGCCAGAUACUGACACUGAGGUGCGAAAGCGUGGGGAGCAAACAGGAUUAGAUACCCCGGUAGUCC